rnacentral:rRNA from 1 species
UACGUAGGGUCCGAGCGUUGUCCGGAAUUACUGGGCGUAAAGAGCUCGUAGGUGGUUUGUCGCGUUGUUCGUGAAAACUCACAGCUCAACUGUGGGCGUGCGGGCGAUACGGGGCAGACUAGAGUACUGCAGGGGGAGACUGGAAUUCCUGGUGUAGCGGUGGAAUGCGCAGAUAUCAGGAGGGAACACCGGUGGCGAAAGGCGGGGUCUCUGGGGCAGUAACUGACGCUGAGGAGCGAAAAGCGUGGGGGAGCGAACAGG